GACCAAGUCCCUCGCAACGCGAUCAUACCCAACCCCGCCAGGUCCGGAAGGAAGCAACGGCCGGUAUAGACGUGUGUGACGGGGGUCGCUUGGUCCUC
rnacentral:SRP_RNA from 1 species